UACGUAGGGUGCGAGCGUUAAUCGGAAUUACUGGGCGUAAAGCGUGCGCAGGCGGCUUCGCAAGUCAGACGUGAAAUCCCCGGGCUUAACCUGGGAAUGGCGUUUGAAACUACGGAGCUGGAGUGUGGCAGAGGGAGGUAGAAUUCCACGUGUAGCGGUGAAAUGCGUAGAUAUGUGGAGGAAUACCGAUGGCGAAGGCAGCCUCCUGGGCCAACACUGACGCUGAGGAGCGAAAGCCAGGGGAGCAAACGGG
rnacentral:rRNA from 1 species